AUUGAACGCUGGCGGCAUGCCUUACACAUGCAAGUCGAACGGUAACGGGCCUUCGGGUGCCGACGAGUGGCGAACGGGUGAGUAAUGUAUCGGAACGUACCUUUCAGUGGGGGAUAACGUAGCGAAAGUUACGCUAAUACCGCAUAUUCUGUGAGCAGGAAAGGAGGGGAUCGCAAGACCUUGCGCUGAUUGAGCGGCCGAUAUCAGAUUAGCUAGUUGGUGAGGUAAGGGCUCACCAAGGCGACGAUCUGUAGCGGGUCUGAGAGGAUGAUCCGCCACACUGGAACUGCGACACGGUCCAGACUCCUACGGGAGGCAGCAGUGGGGAAUUUUGGACAAUGGGGGCAACCCUGAUCCAGCCAUGCCGCGUGAGUGAAGAAGGCCUUCGGGUUGUAAAGCUCUUUCGGCCGGGAAGAAAUCGUAUCAGCUAAUACCUGGUGCGGAUGACGGUACCGGCAUAAGAAGCACCGGCUAACUACGUGCCAGCAGCCGCCGUAAAAC
rnacentral:rRNA from 1 species